rnacentral:snRNA from 1 species
GUUAUCCCUCUCAUACUG